CGGGACGGGUGAGUAAUGUCUGGGAAACUGCCUGAUGGAGGGGGAUAACUGCUGGAAACGGUAGCUAAUACCGCAUAACGUCGCAAGACCAAAGAGGGGGACCUUCGGGCCUCUUGCCAUCGGGUGUGCCCAGAUGGGAUUAGCUAGUAGGUGGGGUAACGGCUCACCUAGGCGACGAUCCCUAGCUGGGCUGAGAGGAUGACCAGCCACACUGGAACUGAGACACGGUCCAG
rnacentral:rRNA from 1 species